GGCCUCACCCUCAGCACAUGGAAUGAAGGUUCAAAUCCAGGCAGUCUGCCUUUCAAGGGGAUUGACAUCACAGACGGCCUGCUAGGGAUUGUGCUCCCGGAAAAUCUGGAUUGCUAGGGUUGAUGCUGGUAAACUUUCCUCUGAGUAAGACUGUCUCCUAGAAGACCCACCCCAAGCACCACCUGCCAUAGGACAAAGCAAACAUCGGAGACACCGAUAUGUUUAAGAUGUUUCAUCAUGUCAACUCCCGCAUGGGACUUUCAGAAGCUAAGACAACGAAUUAGCCUCCUGUCUGUCUAUAGAGUACAGAGAGGGGACACCCCUUUGCUGGGGUGGAUGAGCAGGAGAGAGACAGAGACACCUGGCCCUCCCGGAACAGAGUGAAGCUGACAACAAGGUAGGUGCCAUUGUUGAGGUCGCUCACCUUUCCCGAGGCGCCUGCCUGCAGAGCUGGGGAGGACAUCCUGGCCCUCAGGAAAUCCCUGCCAUAUGGCUUCUGCGUCCCAAGUGGCCCCUCACCUCCAGCAGGAUGUCCAGCUGAUGCCCCUGUGGUAUGUGUCUCGAGGGCUGAGGAUGGGGUCUGUGCUGUGUGUGGC
rnacentral:lncRNA from 9 species